rnacentral:rRNA from 1 species
UACGGAGGGUGCGAGCGUUGUCCGGAAUCACUGGGCGUAAAGGGCGCGUAGGUGGCUCGGUCAGCGUGCGGUGAAAGCUCGGGGCUCAACCCCGAGUCGGCCGUGCGAACUGCUGGGCUUGAGCACUGUAGAGGCAGGCGGAAUUCCCGGUGUAGCGGUGAAAUGCGCAGAUAUCGGGAGGAACACCAAUGGCGAAGGCAGCUCGCUGGGACGGUACUGACGCUGAGACGCGAAAGCGUGGGGAGCAAACAGG